rnacentral:ncRNA from 1 species
CUCUUCCAGGUCUGUGGUUGCGGAGGCACCGAUCUGCCUCCUAGUCCAUGACAGACGAGGUCAAAGGGAUCCACGUAAGCCAGCGUGUGGGCAUGCUGGCGAUCAUGGCUCGUCCUGAAGCAAGUCGCACUGCCUGAUCGGCUUUGGGGCAAAGAGCCCCACAGGCAAGAGGGCUUUGAUGGGGGUGCCUGAGCAUCCGAAGCGGAGGCCCCGGUGCGCGGGUGUGGGGCCAAAGACCAGGUCAGCUGGAAGAG